CUGUUGCUGGUGUAACACAAUGCACAUGUGCACGCUUGUCAUCUUUAUUCUUCCAACUGUGCACAUAUUGUAGAUCCUGGGGAGUGCAUUUUUAUUGUUGAUUCAAUAGAUUGAGGACUUGCUGUUGCUGGCCUUGUUCGUCUUCCAGGUCUAUGUUUUCACACACAAUGUUUUGAGUCUAGUGAUAAUAAUAUAAAAUAUACAACUUUCAGCAACGGAUCUCUUGGCUCUCGCAUCGAUGAAGAACGCAGCGAAAUGCGAUAAGUAAUGUGAAUUGCAGAAUUCAGUGAAUCAUCGAAUCUUUGAACGCAUCUUGCGCUCCUUGGUAUUCCGAGGAGCAUGCCUGUUUGAGUGUCAUCAAAUUCUCAACCAUGCUGUGGGCAUGGCUUGGACAUGGAGGGCUUUUGCAGGCUUGGAUAAGUCUUGCUCCUCUGAAAAGCAUUAGUGGUGUCAGUGCAGAAAACUACUACAGGUGUGAUAACUUGUCUAUGCCUUGUGUGUAUAAUGCCAUGCUGCUUCAAUGGGCUUUAUUUUGUGAUCUUGACCUCAAAUCAGGUAGGACUACCCGCUGAACUUAAGCAUAUCAAUAAGCGGAGGAAAAGAAACUAACGAGGAUUCCCCUAGUAACUGCGAGUGAAGCGGGAAGAGCUCAAAUUUAAAAUCUGGCGGUUCUUUACCGUCCGAGUUGUAAUCUAGAGAAGUGUCACCCGUGCGCUGGACCGUGUACAAGUCUCCUGGAAUGGAGCAUCAUGGA
rnacentral:rRNA from 1 species